GUUUUGGUGGCUUAACUAAAAGCGUCGACCUUGUAAGUCGAAGAUUGAGGGUUUAAAUCCCUCCCAAAAUA
rnacentral:tRNA from 1 species